GGGCCCAUAGCUCAGCCUGGUAAGAGCAGCUGACUCAUAAUCAGUUGGUCCCUGGUUCGAAUCCAGGUGGGCCCACCG
rnacentral:tRNA from 1 species